rnacentral:rRNA from 1 species
GAUGAACGCUGGCGGCGUGCCUAAUACAUGCAAGUCGAGCGAACAGACGAGGAGCUUGCUCCUCUGACGUUAGCGGCGGACGGGUGAGUAACACGUGGAUAACCUACCUAUAAGACUGGGAUAACUUCGGGAAACCGGAGCUAAUACCGGAUAAUAUAUUGAACCGCAUGGUUCAAUAGUGAAAGACGGUUUUGCUGUCACUUAUAGAUGGAUCCGCGCCGCAUUAGCUAGUUGGUAAGGUAACGGCUUACCAAGGCAACGAUGCGUAGCCGACCUGAGAGGGUGAUCGGCCACACGGGACCUGAGACACGGUCCAGACUCCUACGGGAGGCAGCAGUAGGGAAUCUUCCGCAAUGGGCGAAAGCCUGACGGAGCAACGCCGCGUGAGUGAUGAAGGUCUUCGGAUCGUAAAACUCUGUUAUUAGGGAAGAACAAAUGUGUAAGUAACUAUGCACGUCUUGACGGUACCUAAUCAGAAAGCCACGGCUAACUACGUG